UGCCACAGUGAUGACACUUAUUUGCUACUCUUGACCACGAGAGUGAUGAGCACUUUUACCACCAAAACAGUUUUCUGAGGCA
rnacentral:snoRNA from 1 species